rnacentral:misc_RNA from 1 species
ACAGAUUUCUUCUUUCUGAAAUAACUCUGUUUGAUUCGGUAUAACCAUAUAUAAACUAUCGAUUCUACUGUAUAAUUGUUUUAAAAAAGAAAGUUAAAAAUCUAUUGUGCAUCAUUGGUUGUAUGUAAGAUACUUAUAAUAUUUAUACAUUUUUACAAAUUGUUAGCUAUUGCAUACAAAUGAUAUGUGAUCUCAUGACGUCAUUAUCCAUUGACAUGCGCACAUUUAUGGUGCGUGAAAUAAAAAUGGAAUGG